rnacentral:rRNA from 1 species
AACGAACGCUGGCGGCAUGCCUAACACAUGCAAGUCGAACGAGACCUUCGGGUCUAGUGGCGCACGGGUGCGUAACGCGUGGGAACCUGCCCUUAGGUUCGGAAUAACUCCCCGAAAGGGGUGCUAAUACCGGAUAAUGUCUUCGGACCAAAGAUUUAUCGCCUUUGGAUGGGCCCGCGUUGGAUUAGCUAGUUGGUAGGGUAAAAGCCUACCAAGGCGACGAUCCAUAGCUGGUCUGAGAGGAUGAUCAGCCACACUGGGACUGAGACACGGCCCAGACCCCUACGGGGGGCAGCAGGGGGGAAUAUUGGACAGGGGGCAAAAGCCUAAUCCAGCAAUGCCGGGGGAGUGAUGAAGGCCUUAGGGUUGUAAAGCUCUUUUACCCGGGAUGAAAAUGACAGUACCGGGAAAAUAAGCUCCGGCUAACUCCGU